ACGGAUAAGGGCAAACUUGUCGAAAGGCAAGGACGCAAAGCCAUGGGUCUUCGGAUGGUUAUUCACCGUCACAGAUCGCCAGGCUGCAGGAG
rnacentral:ncRNA from 1 species